rnacentral:tRNA from 1 species
UGCUAGAUGGGGUUACCCAUUAGUAAGUUCUAAGCUUAGCGCACUUAUUUCUGCCAAUCUAGC